AUUGAACGCUGGCGGCAUGCCUUACACAUGCAAGUCGAACGGCAGCGGGGGAGAAGCUUGCUUUUCCUGCCGGCGAGUGGCGAACGGGUGAGUAAUACAUCGGAACGUGCCCUGUAGUGGGGGAUAACUAGUCGAAAGAUUAGCUAAUACCGCAUACGACCUGAGGGUGAAAGUGGGGGACCGCAAGGCCUCAUGCUAUAGGAGCGGCCGAUGUCUGAUUAGCUAGUUGGUGGGGUAAAGGACUACCAAGGCGACGAUCAGUAGCUGGUCUGAGGGGACGAUCAGCCACACUGGGACUGAGACACGGCCCAGACUCCUACGGGAGGCAGCAGUGGGGAAUUUUGGACAAUGGGCGAAAGCCUGAUCCAGCAAUGCCGCGUGUGUGAAGAAGGCCUUCGGGUUGUAAAGCACUUUUGUCCGGAAAGAAAUGGCUCUGGUUAAUACCUGGGGUCGAUGACGGUACCGGAAGAAUAAGGGCCGGCUAACUACGUGCCAGCCGCCGCAGUAA
rnacentral:rRNA from 1 species